rnacentral:rRNA from 1 species
AUUGAACGCUGGCGGCAUGCCUUACACAUGCAAGUCGAACGGUAACAGGUUAAGCUGACGAGUGGCGACCGGGUGAGUAAUGUAUCGGAACGUGCCCAGUCGUGGGGUAUAACUGCUCGAAAGAGCAGCUAAUACCGCAUACGACCUGAGGGUGAACGCGGUGGAUCGCAAGACCUCGCGCGAUUGGACCGGCCGAUAUCAGAUUAGGUAGUUUGUGAGGUAAAGGCUCACCAAGCCGACGAUCUGUAGCUGGUCUGAGAGGACGACCAGCCACACUGGGACUGAGACACGGCCCAGACUCCUACGGGAGGCAGCAGUGGGGAAUGUUGGACAAUGGGCGCAAGCCUGAUCCAGCCAUGCCGCGUGCGGGAAGAAGGCCUUCGGGUUGUAAACCGCUUUUGUCAGGGAAGAAAAGGUUCUGGCUAAUACCUGGGACUCAUGACGGUACCUGAAGAAUAAGCACCGGCUAACUACGUG